rnacentral:rRNA from 1 species
AUGACAGCAGCAGCCGCGCCCGAGGAAAUCCACAGCUCGCAGCCAUCGGACGUCGCCGUCCGCGCGGAGUGCCGCCGCCCGAACCUCCCACCACAGCACGCCGCAAUGGAGGCCGACCGCCCAUGGCAUCGCCCGAGCUCACCUCCCAGCAGUCAUUCUCCUUUGAAUUCGUCGGGAUCCGGCUGGAUCCGGACGCCAGCGCCCCGUUCCUACCUCCCCGCCUCGCUUGGGUCGUCGGCCAGCUCGACGAUGUCAGACUGCUCGCGGGAUCCAGCGCCACCGCUGGCUGGCCACUUCCUCCUGGAGGAGACGCCCCCACAUCGGCGCCUCCCCAUAUGA